rnacentral:rRNA from 1 species
AAGCUCGUAGUUGAAUUUCGGGGUUCUAUCGUUGGUCGGGCUAUCCAGUCUGUACUAGCGUGUAGAAUUCUUACCUUCUGGGGAACCAUCAUGUUAUUAAUUUAGCGUGGUGGGAAACCAGGAUCUUUACCUUGAAAAAAUUAGAGUGUUUAAAGCAGGCUCACGCUUGAAUACAUUAGCAUGGAAUAACGGAAUAGGACGUUUGAUUCUAUUUUGUUGGUUUCUAGGAUCGACGUAAUGAUUAAUAGGGAUAGUUGGG